rnacentral:tRNA from 1 species
GGACUGUGGCUCAUCGGUAGAGAACUUGCCUUGCAUGUGUGAGGCACUGGGUUCGAUUCUCAGCACCA